CGUAGCUUAAACCUUAAAGCAU
rnacentral:tRNA from 1 species